GUAAUACGUAGGGUGCAAGCGUUGUCCGGAAUUAUUGGGCGUAAAGAGCUCGUAGGCGGUUUGUCGCGUCUGCUGUGAAAUCCCGAGGCUCAACCUCGGGCUUGCAGUGGGUACGGGCAGACUAGAGUGCGGUAGGGGAGAUUGGAAUUCCUGGUGUAGCGGUGGAAUGCGCAGAUAUCAGGAGGAACACCGAUGGCGAAGGCAGAUCUCUGGGCCGUAACUGACGCUGAGGAGCGAAAGCGUGGGGAGCGAACAGGAUUAGAUACCCUGGUAGUCCACGCCGUAAACGUUGGGCGCUAGAUGUAGGGACCUUUCCACGGUUUCUGUGUCGUAGCUAACGCAUUAAGCGCCCCGCCUGGGGAGUACGGCCGCAAGGCUAAAACUCAAAGGAAUUGACGGGGGCCCGCACAAGCGGCGGAGCAUGCGGAUUAAUUCGAUGCAACGCGAAGAACCUUACCAAGGCUUGACAUACACCGGAAACGGCCAGAGAUGGUCGCCCCCUUGUGGUCGGUGUACAGGUGGUGCAUGGUUGUCGUCAGCUCGUGUCGUGAGAUGUUGGGUUAAGUCCCGCAACGAGCGCAACCCUCGUUCUAUGUUGCCAGCGCGUUAUGGCGGGGACUCAUAGGAGACUGCCGGGGUCAACUCGGAGGAAGGUGGGGAUGACGUCAAAUCAUCAUGCCCCUUAUGUCUUGGGCUUCACGCAUGCUACAAUGGCCGGUACAAAGGGCUGCGAUACCGUAAGGUGGAGCGAAUCCCAAAAAGCCGGUCUCAGUUCGGAUUGAGGUCUGCAACUCGACCUCAUGAAGUCGGAGUCGCUAGUAAUCGCAGAUCAGCAACGCUGCGGUGAAUACGUUCCCGGGCCUUGUACACACCGCCCGUCAAGUCAUGAAAGUCGGUAACACCCGAAGCCGGUGGCCUAACCCUUGUGGAAGGAGCCGUCGAAGGUGGGAUCGGUGAUUAGGACU
rnacentral:rRNA from 1 species